AGAGUUUGAUCCUGGCUCAGGAUGAACGCCCGGCGGUGUGCCUAAUACAUGCAAGUCGUACGCACUGGCCCAACUGAUUGAUGGUGCUUGCACCUGAUUGACGAUGGAUCACCAGUGAGUGGCGGACGGGUGAGUAACACGUAGGUAACCUGCCCCGGAGCGGGGGAUAACAUUUGGAAACAGAUGCUAAUACCGCAUAACAACAAAAGCCACAUGGCUUUUGUUUGAAAGAUGGCUUUGGCUAUCACUCUGGGAUGGACCUGCGGUGCAUUAGCUAGUUGGUAAGGUAACGGCUUACCAAGGCGAUGAUGCAUAGCCGAGUUGAGAGACUGAUCGGCCACAAUGGAACUGAGACACGGUCCAUACUCCUACGGGAGGCAGCAGUAGGGAAUCUUCCACAAUGGGCGCAAGCCUGAUGGAGCAACACCGCGUGAGUGAAGAAGGGUUUCGGCUCGUAAAGCUCUGUUGUUGGAGAAGAACGUGCGUGAGAGUAACUGUUCACGCAGUGACGGUAUCCAACCAGAAAGUCACGGCUAACUACGUGCCAGCAGCCGCGGUAAUACGUAGGUGGCAAGCGUUAUCCGGAUUUAUUGGGCGUAAAGCGAGCGCAGGCGGUUGCUUAGGUCUGAUGUGAAAGCCUUCGGCUUAACCGAAGAAGUGCAUCGGAAACCGGGCGACUUGAGUGCAGAAGAGGACAGUGGAACUCCAUGUGUAGCGGUGGAAUGCGUAGAUAUAUGGAAGAACACCAGUGGCGAAGGCGGCUGUCUGGUCUGCAACUGACGCUGAGGCUCGAAAGCAUGGGUAGCGAACAGGAUUAGAUACCCUGGUAGUCCAUGCCGUAAACGAUGAGUGCUAGGUGUUGGAGGGUUUCCGCCCUUCAGUGCCGGAGCUAACGCAUUAAGCACUCCGCCUGGGGAGUACGACCGCAAGGUUGAAACUCAAAGGAAUUGACGGGGGCCCGCACAAGCGGUGGAGCAUGUGGUUUAAUUCGAAGCUACGCGAAGAACCUUACCAGGUCUUGACAUCUUGCGCUAACCUUAGAGAUAAGGCGUUCCCUUCGGGGACGCAAUGACAGGUGGUGCAUGGUCGUCGUCAGCUCGUGUCGUGAGAUGUUGGGUUAAGUCCCGCAACGAGCGCAACCCUUGUUACUAGUUGCCAGCAUUAAGUUGGGCACUCUAGUGAGACUGCCGGUGACAAACCGGAGGAAGGUGGGGACGACGUCAGAUCAUCAUGCCCCUUAUGACCUGGGCUACACACGUGCUACAAUGGACGGUACAACGAGUCGCAAGCUCGCGAGAGUAAGCUAAUCUCUUAAAGCCGUUCUCAGUUCGGACUGUAGGCUGCAACUCGCCUACACGAAGUCGGAAUCGCUAGUAAUCGCGGAUCAGCAUGCCGCGGUGAAUACGUUCCCGGGCCUUGUACUCACCGCCCGUCA
rnacentral:rRNA from 1 species